CGGAGUGUAUCGUCGACCUGUAACCAAAUUGGCGGUUAUUGAAUUUGCAUCUUCUGGUAAAUCUGUUCCAAAACUAGGUUCUGGACAGGGUUUACGGGCCGGGGAACUGUUACCACCACUACCAACGGUCGGCGUACCUACUGCAUAAUCUACAUACGUUGUCAGCGCUGAUGAGACUGACAGUCCGAUUGAAAGGCAAUUGAUUUCGUAAUAGCCAUCGAAUGGUGUAUAACGUGGUCUUGAUCCUAUGUGCAAUAUGAUUGAUUUUGUGAAUUUCCCGAUUAUAAUUUGGUACAUAUAAGUCGUUGAACUGGUGAAAUAUCUUUAAGCUCGAUAGGUAAUUCAAUAAUCUUGAAUUCGUGAAAUAGUUGUUAGAAUGCCCUGUUUUUAUAUGUAGUUUGCCAAUAUAGGUUAUCUCCCCUCAAUUGUGCCAUUAAACCCGAAGUACUUGCGGAUACCACCAUAGAAUUGUUGAACUCCAAUAUACAACACAUAUUGUAUAGACCAUUCAUUCGUACGUUGCCUACCACUUUUCUCGGAGUCAGGGUUUGGAAACUAAAUAUGUAAGAUGAUCCAUAUUGUAUUCAAUAGUCAAAAGUUCGAUAAUAAUAAAAUCUCUUUUUAGUUUGAGCUGAUUCUCUAAAACGCGCUGCUUCAAAAAUUAGUAACCACUCUGUGUCCGAACAAUUACUAUUUUAAAGGCCCACCUGGUGCAAUUUUAGUUAAUUUUUCGAAAAAUUAAAAUUUCUUAGAAUUGUGAUACCUUUGGCGUUAAAAUAAUUAAUUUCCUUGGCUCAAGCGCAUCUACUAAAAAGAAAGAUCAAGCGGGAUUAAAUACCAAAAUAAAACCGUAUUUACUAGUAAUUUUAGACCACUCUUAUAGUUUUAUGUUGACGCAUUCAAUUUGAAGGUAUCAAAACAAAAUAAACAAAACAAACUAUCUGCAAAAAUCGCGAUAUAUGCGGCUGUUGUAUCAGAUCCAGAUUUCUCUAUUUAUCAAGAUUUUAGCUAUAAAUACAGCCAUUGCAUGAAUUGACCUUCAUUACAAAGUAAGGCAAAUCGUAUGGACGAGUCGAAAAAUGGUGAGAAGUCUAAAAUUAGUGCUUUUAUCUUA